rnacentral:lncRNA from 1 species
UGGGAUUGAAGGUGAAGAAUAUCAUGCCAGACUGAAGUAAGUGCCUAAAAUCAAUUUCUGUAAGUACAGAGAGUAUCACACACUAGGAGGUUUGUUCCAAGUUGAGAAUCCUACCUCAGACCCUUACCAAAACCCUGUCACAUGCCAGACUAACCAGGCGACUGGCCACAGUCUGGUGUCCACGGACAUGCAACUAGAUGAAUGAAAUGUGAAAACCUGGAUCAAAUUCAAGAUCGAAUGACAAAACUCACCGCCUUAUUGGCGCCUCCAGCAGCAGCAGAGAGAUGAGAAGAAUCACAGGCGCCAAUGGCCAUGUAAACCUAAUCUCUGUGAUCG